CCUACGGGAGGCAGCAGUGGGGAAUAUUGCACAAUGGGGGAAACCCUGAUGCAGCGACGCCGCGUGAAGGAAGAAGUAUUUCGGUAUGUAAACUUCUAUCAGCAGGGAAGAAAAUGACGGUACCUGACUAAGAAGCCCCGGCUAACUACGUGCCAGCAGCCGCGGUAAUACGUAGGGGGCAAGCGUUAUCCGGAUUUACUGGGUGUAAAGGGAGCGUAGGCGGUUUAGCAAGUCAGAAGUGAAAGCCCGGGGCUCAACUCCGGGACUGCUUUUGAAACUGUUGAACUAGAUUGCAGGAGAGGUAAGUGGAAUUCCUAGUGUAGCGGUGAAAUGCGUAGAUAUUAGGAGGAACACCAGUGGCGAAGGCGGCUUACUGGACUGUAAAUGACGCUGAGGCUCGAAAGCGUGGGGAGCAAACAGGAUUAGAUACCCCUGUAGUC
rnacentral:rRNA from 1 species